rnacentral:lncRNA from 1 species
UAGGAAGACUGCUUUGGUGUUCUUUCUGGAAAAAGAAGGUCAGCCCAAAGAAGAUUUGAACUCUGUCUGAAAACCUGGGAGUUCUAUUUCUUCACUGAGGCAGGAAGGUAAAUAUUAGAAUUCAUCAAGUCUUCUUUUUCUAAUUCUUAUUGGGCUGGAAUAAAUGAAAACCUGGCUUGUACCAACAAAGUGCUUAAGUAAGUAGAGAAGACAU